UGGGGAAUAUUGGACAAUGGGCGAAAGCCUGAUCCAGCCAUGCCGCGUGUGUGAAGAAGGUCUUCGGAUUGUAAAGCACUUUAAGUUGGGAGGAAGGGCAGUAAGCGAAUACCUUGCUGUUUUGACGUUACCGACAGAAUAAGCACCGGGUAACUCUGUGCCAGCAGCCGCGGUAAUACAGAGGGUGCAAGCGUUAAUCGGAAUUACUGGGCGUAAAGCGCGCGUAGGUGGUUCGUUAAGUUGAAUGUGAAAGCCCCGGGCUCAACCUGGGAACUGCAUCCAAAACUGGCGAGCUAGAGUAGGGCAGAGGGUGGUGGAAUUUCCUGUGUAGCGGAGAAAUGCGUAGAUAUAGGAAGGAACACCAGUGGCGAAGGCGACCACCUGGGCUCAUACUGACACUGAGGUGCGAAAGCGUGGGGAGCAAACAGG
rnacentral:rRNA from 1 species